CUGCGGUGAAUACGUUCCCGGCUCUUGUACACACCGCCCGUCAAACCAUGAAAGUCACCAACACCCGAAGUCCGAUUCGUCGGCCUAAGGUGGGGGGAUGAGUUGGGGUU
rnacentral:rRNA from 1 species